rnacentral:lncRNA from 1 species
UUAUUUUGAAUCCUAAUGUCAAGGCAAACAUCUCUACUUACAAGAAAAUCACUUUGCUUCGUGAACACAUUUUUAUUUCUUUUGCAUGAUUUCAUGUAUCUUCAUUAUGCAAGUGAUGUUUUGUAGCAUAGGUAGAAAUUUGUGUAUGUGUUAUUUUAAACAUUGGGUGCUGGGCUUAAUACCUGGGUGACGAAAGAAUCUGCACAAAAAGUCCCCGUGACAAGAGUUUACUUAUGUAACAAACCUUCACAUGUACUUCUGAACCUGAAAUAAAAAUUAAAAAAAUGAUAUGUUAGCCUAUCUUCACAGUGGAUAGGCUGAAGAUACAGGCCUAUAGACAACCUAUGACUCCUGGCAGAUUGGUUUGCAGCAGUUUGUUACCUUGAUCUUGGCUUGCAGCAAAAUGUUGACUGUGAAGGAACCUGGGCUCUCAAAGGAGAUGUCAAAUUCUUAUGAGCCAGGCCAAUGUCCCAUCCGACUGUGAAUUUUUCCAAUUUUUCAACUAUUUGGAACAAGGAUGGAAAUGGAGCUUUGUACAAAAUGAUGAAGUUCGUUUAGUACCUGAAUAGUGACUUAAUACCAAGACAGAAAUCCUGAAAAGGGCACACUGAGAAUAAAUACACAAAUUACCUAAAACUGAGGCUUAACCAUUGACAAAGGUAGCAAUUUCUGAGGCUCCAGGAUAGACAAAUGUUACUGACCUUUGUUCCAACUGAAUUUUUUCCCAAAAUCUGAAAUAGACUUUUCUUCUCCUUCUCCUUCUUCUUCUUCUUUUUAAUUUGAGACAAGGUCUUGAUCUAUCAGCCAGGCUGGAGUAUGAUGGCAUGAUCAUAGCUCACUGCAGCCUUGAACCCCUGGGCUCAAGAGAUCCUCCCACCUCAGCCUCUGGAUUAGCCGGGACUACAGGUGCAAGCCACCAUGCCCGGCUAUUUUUUUUGUAGAGACAAGUCUCACUAAGUUGCCCAGGCUGGUCUCAAAUUCCUGGCCUCAAGCAAUCCUCUUGCCUCAGCCUCCCAAAGUGCUGGGAUUAUAGGCAUUUUGAGUCAUCACACUGGGCCCUGUAAUAGACUUUCAUAACACCUUUAUUUCAUACUCAGGAAAGGAAUAUAUCGCAAAGAAAAUAUUGAAUAGGGAG